rnacentral:rRNA from 1 species
UUGCACCUUUCAAGUGAGUGGCGAACGGGUGAGUAACACGUGGACAACCUGCCUCAAGGCUGGGGAUAACAUUUGGAAACAGAUGCUAAUACCGAAUAAAACUUAGUGUCGCAUGACACAAAGUUAAAAGGCGCUUCGGCGUCACCUAGAGAUGGAUCCGCGGUGCAUUAGUUAGUUGGUGGGGUAAAGGCCUACCAAGACAAUGAUGCAUAGCCGAGUUGAGAGACUGAUCGGCCACAUUGGGACUGAGACACGGCCCAAACUCCUACGGGAGGCUGCAGUAGGGAAUCUUCCACAAUGGGCGAAAGCCUGAUGGAGCAACGCCGCGUGUGUGAUGAAGGCUUUCGGGUCGUAAAGCACUGUUGUAUGGGAAGAACAGCUAGAAUAGGAAAUGAUUUUAGUUUGACGGUACCAUACCAGAAAGGGACGGCUAAAUACGUGCCAGCAGCCGCGGUAAUACGUAUGUCCCGAGCGUUAUCCGGAUUUAUUGGGCGUAAAGCGAGCGCAGACGGUUUAUUAAGUCUGAUGUGAAAGCCCGGAGCUCAACUCCGGAAUGGCAUUGGAAACUGGUUAACUUGAGUGCAGUAGAGGUAAGUGGAACUCCAUGUGUAGCGGUGGAAUGCGUAGAUAUAUGGAAGAACACCAGUGGCGAAGGCGGCUUACUGGACUGCAACUGACGUUGAGGCUCGAAAGUGUGGGUAGCAAACAGGAUUAGAUACCCUGGUAGUCCACACCGUAAACGAUGAACACUAGGUGUUAGGAGGUUUCCGCCUCUUAGUGCCGAAGCUAACGCAUUAAGUGUUCCGCCUGGGGAGUACGACCGCAAGGUUGAAACUC